rnacentral:rRNA from 1 species
UACAGAGGGUGCAAGCGUUGUUCGGAAUUAUUGGGCGUAAAGGGCGCGUAGGCGGUGCUGUAAGUCUGUAGUGAAAUCUCUGGGCUCAACUCAGAGUCUGCUAUAGAAACUGCAGUGCUGGAGUGUGGGAGAGGUGAGUGGAAUUCCCGGUGUAGCGGUGAAAUGCGCAGAUAUCUGGAGGAACACCGGUGGCGAAGGCGGCGUUCUGGACUGCAACUGACACUGAGGAACGAAAGCCAGGGGAGCAAACGGG